GAUGAACGCUAGCUACAGGCUUAACACAUGCAAGUCGAGGGGCAGCAUUUUAGUUUGCUUGCAAACUAAAGAUGGCGACCGGCGCACGGGUGAGUAACACGUAUCCAACCUGCCGAUAACUCGGGGAUAGCCUUUCGAAAGAAAGAUUAAUAUCCGAUAGUAUAUUUUCUCCGCAUGGCGAGAAUAUUAAAGAAUUUCGGUUAUCGAUGGGGAUGCGUUCCAUUAGUUUGUUGGCGGGGUAACGGCCCACCAAGACUACGAUGGAUAGGGGUUCUGAGGGAAGGUCCCCCACAUUGGAACUGAGACACGGUCCAA
rnacentral:rRNA from 1 species